GGCUACAGGCUUAACACAUGCAAGUCGAGGGGCAGCAUCAUCAAAGCUUGCUUUGAUGGAUGGCGACCGGCGCACGGGUGAGUAACACGUAUCCAACCUGCCGACAACACUGGGAUAGCCUUUCGAAAGAAAGAUUAAUACCGGAUGGCAUAGUUUUCCCGCAUGGGAUAAUUAUUAAAGAAUUUCGGUUGUCGAUGGGGAUGCGUUCCAUUAGGCAGUUGGCGGGGUAACGGCCCACCAAACCAACGAUGGAUAGGGGUUCUGAGAGGAAGGUCCCCCACAUUGGAACUGAGACACGGUCCAAACUCCUACGGGAGGCAGCAGUGAGGAAUAUUGGUCAAUGGACGAGAGUCUGAACCAGCCAAGUAGCGUGAAGGAUGACUGCCCUAUGGGUUGUAAACUUCUUUUAUACGGGAAUAAAGUGAGCCACGUGUGGCUUUUUGUAUGUACCGUAUGAAUAAGGAUCGGCUAACUCCGUGCCAGCAGCCGCGGUAAUACGGAGGAUCCGAGCGUUAUCCGGAUUUAUUGGGUUUAAAGGGAGCGUAGGCGGGUUGUUAAGUCAGUUGUGAAAGUUUGCGGCUCAACCGUAAAAUUGCAGUUGAUACUGGCGACCUUGAGUGCAACAGAGGUAGGCGGAAUUCGUGGUGUAGCGGUGAAAUGCUUAGAUAUCACGAAGAACUCCGAUUGCGAAGGCAGCUUACUGGAUUGUAACUGACGCUGAUGCUCGAAGGUGUGGGUAUCAAACAGGAUUAGAUACCCUGGUAGUCCACACAGUAAACGAUGAAUACUCGCUGUUGGCGAUAUACGGUCAGCGGCCAAGCGAAAGCAUUAAGUAUUCCACCUGGGGAGUACGCCGGCAACGGUGAAACUCAAAGGAAUUGACGGGGGCCCGCACAAGCGGAGGAACAUGUGGUUUAAUUCGAUGAUACGCGAGGAACCUUACCCGGGCUUAAAUUGCAACUGACGGAACCGGAAACGGUUCUUUCUUCGGACAGUUGUGAAGGUGCUGCAUGGUUGUCGUCAGCUCGUGCCGUGAGGUGUCGGCUUAAGUGCCAUAACGAGCGCAACCCUUACGGGUAGUUACCAUCAGGUUAUGCUGGGGACUCUACCCGGACUGCCGUCGUAAGAUGUGAGGAAGGUGGGGAUGACGUCAAAUCAGCACGGCCCUUACGUCCGGGGCUACACACGUGUUACAAUGGGGGGUACAGAAGGCAGCUACACGGCGACGUGGUGCUAAUCCCAAAAGCCUCUCUCAGUUCGGAUUGGAGUCUGCAACCCGACUCCAUGAAGCUGGAUUCGCUAGUAAUCGCGCAUCAGCCACGGCGCGGUGAAUACGUUCCCGGGCCUUGUACACACCGCCCGUCAAGCCAUGAAAGCCGGGGGUACCUGAAGUACGUAACCGCGAGGAGCGUCCUAGGGUAAAACUGGUGAUUGGGGCUAAGUA
rnacentral:rRNA from 1 species